rnacentral:rRNA from 1 species
AGAAAUCCUGAUUUCGAAAGGGGUUAUAAAAGGAUUCAAUUGCGCCCAGGGGGAGACUCGUCCUCGCCAGAUGUCGGCGGUGCGCCCGCGAGCGAAUCACGUUUUUCUCGCGGUGUCGUUUCCGUCCGUCACUCGGCUUGGGCAGACCUGGCUCGGGGUGCGGUGCACUUCCCCCCUAGUAGAAACGUCGCGACCCGUUGGGUGCCGGUCCCAAGGCCCGGGAUGGCAGACCGUCGCGUACCGCAAAAACCGGAUCGUUCGGUUGCGGGCGAGGCGGACUCCCGGUGUCCCGGCCGGCUGCCCGACGGUAUGAGAGGAGUCGAUCCGCUGAGUGGAAACCAGUUUGGCUUGUGUAGCGUCCGGCACCGGCUUGCCGCGCGUCGACGGCGGACAGGUUCCCGUGCCUAUCCCACGGGUCCUUCCCCUCGCGCUGUGCGCAGGUCGGUGUCCUCGGACAGGAUCAGUAACUCCGGUCCGCGGCGUUCAUCUUCGGAUGUUCUCCG